UACCCUUGACAUGCCGAGGAUUUUGCAGAGAUGUAAGAGUGCCGAAAGGAACUCGGACAC
rnacentral:rRNA from 1 species